AGUUCUUCGUAUCUCAAGUAUUGCCUCCCUUGGCUUAAACGAUUGAAGUUAUGGUUCCUGGUUUGGCGCAUGUAGUGAGCGUUAUUAUCUGUUGAUACUUUUUCUGUUUACUACAUCCUUCGAAACGAAGAUUAUAGGUAAAAGUCAACAAGAUAAAAAGGAUGCAGGGUCACAUACUCUACAGGAGGCGCUUUUCCAUUCAAAAGUGGAAAAAAUUUACUACAAAAUUGAAAAGAAUAAAUCUAUAAUUGAAAAGAAUAAAUCUGAAAUUGAAAAAAAAA